UCUUGCGUAUUUAAUGUAAUUAUACAAAAAAUCCGGAUACAAUAUAUUGUAGUACUGCAAUAGUCGUAUCUUCGUAUACACGCAUCUUAUAAAUAUUUAUUAUUAUAACAAACUAAUGGUAUCGUAAGUAUACAGUAGCGCAAUAAAGUGUCACCCAAUGAACUAUAAUCCGCAAUGAAGCGUAUGCAUACCCAAAAUUACAUCCCCUUGACUUCAUUUGGCUGGGCUGAAUUGGGAUAAUCAAAUCUAAAUAAACAAAAAAUCACACUCUUCCAGUAACAACACUGUAAAAUUCGUGUUGAAAUUAGACCACUUUUAGCACUUAGAUCCGCCAAUAAAAUGACUAAUUCCCGAAAUGAAGUUCAUUUGUUGCAGAGAGUGCUGC